UGGCAACCAGGAAAUCCUUGCUGGCCACAGAUCUGUUACAUUAUUUAUCACCCCCAAAUGCAAGACCUAGGAGGGAGAGAAUUAACUUGGGGGGCUGGAAGAGAGUAUGUGAGGGGGGUUUAGGCCGCGGAUGAAAUCAGGACAAGACAGGGUGGCUUAGUGGUUUAAGUGUAACCCACACAUGGAGUCUUUGUUUCCCUCUGGUGGAUGGCACAUGUGUGAGGUCAGUGGGUCAGCUAAAUGUGGGGAGUCAGUCCUGUAGCUGUGGCAAUCACAUGGCAGCAGACCAGGCUUAUAGGUCCUGAAGAUCUAGGGUUCAUACCCAGUGGAUAGCACAUAUAGGGUGGGUUACAAGAGCGAUGCUCAGUGUGGGGCUUGUACUCCUGUAGCCCUCAGAGGCUUAAGAUGAUCAUCUUCAAGCAGCAUAGGCUGUGACCCCUACUAGCAGAGCGGAGGUCACUCUUUUUCUCAGAGGCAUCAGGGAGUAUAGCCAUCACUAGUUAGCCAGAAACAGUACCCUUAGAAAUGCAGAGACCCAUUUUGCAAGAAUGAUCAGAGGCAGCUAUUACUGUCCCUGGCUUAUCGGAGAAAUCCAGAUGUUUUCCUCAGAUGUGAACCUUGAUCAAGUCAUCCCCUAAGGCAUGUGCUCAGCACCAAUCACAUGUAUGGCUGGUGCCACAGAGCAUCAGGGGUGAGCCCCAGCCUCACGCCAUCUUGUGUGAGCUCCACUGGUUGAGACGCGCCAGGGACAGCUCCCACUGCAUCCCAUGAUAAAG